UCGACAACGUCUGCCCUGUCCCU
rnacentral:miRNA from 1 species